AUACGGAGGAUCCGAGCGUUAUCCGGAUUUAUUGGGUUUAAAGGGUGCGUAGGUGGUUUGAUAAGUCAGCGGUGAAAGUUUGCAGCUUAACUGUAAAAAUGCCGUUGAAACUGUCGGACUUGAGUGUAAAUGAGGUAGGCGGAAUGCGUGGUGUAGCGGUGAAAUGCAUAGAUAUCACGCAGAACUCCGAUUGCGAAGGCAGCUUACUAAGCUACAACUGACACUGAAGCACGAAAGCGUGGGGAUCAAACAGGAUUAGAUACCCUGGUAGUCCACGCCCUAAACGAUGAUAACUCGAUGUUAGCGAUAUACAGUCAGCGUCGUAGCGAAAGCGUUAAGUUAUCCACCUGGGGAGUACGCCGGCAACGGUGAAACUCAAAGGAAUUGACGGGG
rnacentral:rRNA from 1 species